rnacentral:piRNA from 1 species
AAAAAAAACUUUGCACGGUAUGAGCUUCAU